rnacentral:rRNA from 1 species
UGGGGAAUCUUGGACAAUGGGGGCAACCCUGAUCCAGCCAUGCCGCGUGAGUGAUGAAGGCCUUAGGGUCGUAAAGCUCUUUCGCCUGUGAAGAUAAUGACGGUAGCAGGUAAAGAAACCCCGGCUAACUCCGUGCCAGCAGCCGCGGUAAUACGGAGGGGGUUAGCGUUGUUCGGAAUUACUGGGCGUAAAGCGCACGUAGGCGGACCAGAAAGUUGGGGGUGAAAUCCCGGGGGCUCAACCCCGGAACUGCCUCCAAAACUAUUGGUCUAGAGUUCGAGAGAGGUGAGUGGAAUUCCAAGUGUAGAGGUGAAAUUCGUAGAUAUUUGGAGGAACACCAGUGGCGAAGGCGGCUCACUGGCUCGAUACUGACGCUGAGGUGCGAAAGUGUGGGGAGCAAACAGGAUUAGAUACCCUGGUAGUCCACACCGUAAAACGAUGAAUGCCAGUCGUCGGGUAGCAUGCUAUUCGGUGACACACCUAACGGAUUAAGCAUUCCGGCCUGGGGAGUACGGUCGCAAGAUUAAAACCUCAAAGG